rnacentral:tRNA from 1 species
GGUGGAUUAGCUCAGUGGCUAGAGCGUAGGGUUUGUGACCGGACUGUCCCCGGUUCGAAUCUCGUCAGAGGCUG